rnacentral:siRNA from 1 species
CCGGGUCACUGUGAAGAACAAGUA